UCGCGCUAGGCGGGGAGCUAGCGGUUCCCUGAACCCGCAAUCCGCUAUAGCGGGGCUGAAGUCCCUCCCGAGGGAGAGGCUUCGAGGUAGGGCUGAAGCACGUGAGCGUCGACGGCCAGGUCCCGCGCACUGGGAGCCUGCGAACCGCGUCAGAUCCGGGAGGAAGCAGCGCUAAGCGGAGCCUCUCAGGUGCCGCGGACCAGCCUGGCCCGAGCGAGCGGCGGAUGCACCGCCUCGUAAGCCCUCUCGACAGAGGGUGCGCGG
rnacentral:SRP_RNA from 1 species